UUUAGCAGCGUCUGGUUGAGAUAAGAAAAACAAAAACAGAGAUGAUUAAAAACACAAUCCUCAGAAGCUUCUCUUCUCCGACAUCUUCCAGGAAACACUUGCCUUAUUGCUGUAAAGGAGAGGUAGUGAAGGGGUUUGGGAAGGGAAGCUGAGAACUUCAAAUCCCUACAGUAAAUCUUGCCGAUAAUGUUGUGGAGAAGCUCCCACCUGAGAUUCAGCAAGGUGUUUACUUUGGGUGGGCUGUGAUAAACCAUGGAGAGGCACAGAAGAUGGUUAUGAGUAUCGUCUGGAACCCUUUCUACGACAAUAUAACGAAGAACAUGGUAUUGCUUGAAAUAGAUUCCUCUUCAUAAACUGAUCAACCUCUUAACAGCUGUUAACCCUACGGGGAAAGCAUGUCGUGUGUGUGCGCAUGUACACAUAUCUGCAGAAUGUACAGUAUAAAGGAUACACAAUGAACAUGAAGUACUGUGGGUUAUUCCAUGAAUGAGGCUGUCCAGAUAAGCCCAGAAUCCUCUCAGCAGUGAAAACACAGCACUGCAGAAACGCCAAUGGUGUGGUUCUGUUUAGAUAGCAAGUGCAAUUUAAGGAAAAGAAAAUCUCUUAAACAGCUGAAUUCCGAAAAUUUCUUUCCUUGGAUCAAGCUCUGCCCGUGCUUAGCAACAAGGUGUAAUUUGGCACAGAGCAAUCUUCCCAGUCAUUUUGUUGUUGGAUUUGAAUGAAUGCAAGAUCAAUUCCAGAAUUGAAACAGGUCAAACAAAUAUCCACUCUCUAUCGCUGCAAACAAAAAAGUUAAACACAAGAAUUCCGAGACUCGCAGUAAUCUGUAUGGCUGCCUGUAUAUCUGAAAACUGCUGUAAAUGAACAAAGUGGAAUUAUUUAAAAAAUGUUUUUCAGUUGUUUUUCUUCACCUAGUAGAGUUGGCCAUUACUUUUAUCUUGUUGCUUGUUUUUAGGAAGUAGACGUUUAACAAAGAUUUUUAUGGAAAAGAGCUUAGUAUUGUUAUUCUGGGAUUCAUCAGACCACAAAGGGAUUUUAAUUCACUUGACGAAUUGACUGCAGCCAUUCAUUCAGACAUAGCUACUGCUAGGGAGAAACUUGAUGAAAGUGAAUACAAACAGUACAAAGAACUUGUUCAAAGGGGAACCGAACUGCUGCAACAAACUGGAACCUGAAGUCAGCCCUCUGAAACAG